CGCAUCUGUGCAUGCAGCAUAUCAAUAAGCGGAGGAAAAGAAACUAACAAGGAUUCCCUUAGUAACGGCGAGUGAAGCGGGAAGAGCUCAAAUUUGAAAUCUUCAAGGUUUUACCUUGACGAAUUGUAGUUUAAAGAAGUGUUUUCUGUUGAAGUUUUGGUAAAAGUUCUUUGGAAUAGGACAUCAUAGAGGGUGAGAAUCCCGUAUUUGACCAUUAUUUUCAGCUGUGUGAUACACUUUCAAAGAGUCGGAUUGUUUGGGAAUGCAGUCCAAAAUGGGUGGUAAAUUUCAUCUAAAGCUAAAUAUUGGCGAGAGACCGAUAGCGAACAAGUACCGUGAGGGAAAGAUGAAAAGAACUUUGAAAAGAGAGUUAAACAGUACGUGAAAUUGUCAAAAGGGAAGCGUUUGACACCAGUGUUGUUUUCUCGAAAAUCAAUUAAAAAGAGUUAGAUUUUGUUGUGUAUUGACCUUAACAGCUUGCAUUUCAAUUUUCUUGCUUUUUUUAAUGCACUUUUCGUUUAACAAGUCAACAUCAGUUUCUUUUGUUGUAAAAAGGUCAUUGGAAGGUGGCUUUCUUUUCGGAGAAAGUGUUUAUAGCCUUUGACUCCUGCAAUCGGAGAGACUGAGGUCUGCAGCGUAGAUCCUUCGGGGUUAGAUACAUUUGUGCUAAGUUAUAGCUUUUUAUAGACAACUUGUUGACUAUGAUUAGUCUUGUAGCUUACUCGCUUAUGCUAUUUUACCUACGCUUAGGAUGUUGACGCGCGUGUGUGCGUGAGUCUAUACAUGACUCUGUGCAUAUCAAUAAGCGGAGGAAAAGGAGUAUACCUACGCUUAGGAUGUUGACGCGCGUGUGUGCGUG
rnacentral:rRNA from 1 species